rnacentral:rRNA from 1 species
UACGUAGGUGGCAAGCGUUGUUCGGAAUUACUGGGCGUAAAGGGCGUGUAGGCGGCCAACUAAGUCCGACGUGAAAUCCCCAGGCUUAACCUGGGAACUGCGUCGGAUACUGGAUGGCUUGAAUCCGGGAGAGGGAUGCGGAAUUCCAGGUGUAGCGGUGAAAUGCGUAGAUAUCUGGAGGAACACCGGUGGCGAAGGCGGCAUCCUGGACCGGC